rnacentral:lncRNA from 1 species
GACUCAAUGCCCAAGCAGUUAGGUGUUGAUUUCAGACUCCUCCGGUAGAGCUAACAACAAAUCAGUGAGUUGUCUUGUGUUACCAAGUUUCAAGACAUUGAAUCCUUCACGAUAUUUUGGUGGGAGAGACAACUGCUUCCAAGGAACAAUCUCCCAGCCAAGGCACCAACAAAGAGCAAAAAAAUUAGUAGAAGAUAUGCACAAAAGGCCAUCAAAGCCAUAAGACAAAAAAAACAAAGUUAUAGACAGUACCAUUCAGCCAUGAUUCUUCCAACUUCCAAGCUAAUUACUGCAAUGGAUGAGGAAAACUAGAAACUAAGAACAACAUAUCUAAAGGAAUAUCCUCAUUAUUUUAUUUGAAUACUGAAGAUAUAGCAAAAUUAUUGAUGCAAUAUGUGUGCAAAAGAGACUGCUUUCAAAUUCACUUGCUCUAGAACUGCCUGCUUUUUAUUGAUCUUUGGAUACAAAUUUGCAGGUGCCGAAAAAAGGUGAGUCUCAGAUCUGCAGAAACGAUCAGGCAAAGAGAAGGUAACCGUGCCAUGGCUGCAAAACACCAGUCGUGCACCGUGCAUGCGAAAGAGGACUCAAAUCACCAGUCAAUAUUCCACUGAUUUGCCAAGCCCAGAUAUGGGUUAGUAGCCUCAACGCUGAAAUUGUUUAUCCCCAUCAUCAUCACGCCCAAAAACAUUCAUUUGCUUGGUUUGCACACAGACAAACAUAUUCAUUAUUUGCGAGGAACUACAAACACGGUAACAGAAAUAAAAGCAAGAAAAAAAAAAGGAAAGCAAAUCAUAUGCUUACCAGAGAAGGAAGGGAACCACCAUCACGAAAAUCCCACAUUUCACUCAAAUGCCUCAUUCUUGACCUAUUACGGAUAAAAGAUUUGGCAACACAUUACGAGGGAACAACAAUAUAACUUCACUUGUAUGCAAAAAGGUGUGGGUUCGAUAUAUUCCAUAUACAAGCAUAAAAAAAAUAUACUUUCCUUAGCAAAUUGAGGCUCAGAUAUAAGGCAAAAGAGAAGUCAACGAUGCCAUGGCUGCAAAACAUUGGUUGUGUGUGUGAGAGAAGAAACUCUUAUCACAGGUAGCAUAAUGCCAGGUAGACACUUUUAGCAAUCACAGCCAUACUGGAUUGCCACGCCAAGAUACGGAUCAGAUCGUCUCCAUGCCUGAACUGGUUAGCCCAGAUUUAGAAAAAGUUAUCAUCACUGCCUUUUUUAGAGUCCAAAGUCAUAAAGGAGACAGACUGAAGAAACAAGGAAACUGAAGUGUUUGGCUUUUGAGUAUGUAUCACAACAACAGGACCCAAAGAAACCAAGAAACUGAAGUUGAUAUAUUUUCUCUUUUUCUUUUUUUUAAGGGCUGUUGGUUUAUUGAGAAGGGGAGAAUCAUAGGCAAAGCAGAGAGGGGCAACCACCCUUGAAAGAAAUCCCAUACUCUCUGCUGCCUCAUACUCGUCAUUUCUGCUAAAAUAAGAGACUUCGUUUAGAUGAGAGCUUUUAACUGAAGAGACCUCACAAGUCUGCAUUUAAGAGAAUUCACAACUUCAACUGCAACAAUGUCCAAACGCCUACUUAUGUUCUUCAACAAAUUGAGGCUCAGAUGCAUGUAAUGAUAUGGCAAAAGAGAAGCCAGUCUCACCAUGGCUGCAAAACACCGAUUGCAUGAGAGGGAGAGAAGUUCUCAACAGGCC